rnacentral:rRNA from 1 species
AAGAGACAGCAGUAGCCGCGGUAAUACAGAGGGUGCGAGCGUUAAUCGGAUUUACUGGGCGUAAAGCGUGCGUAGGCGGCUAAUUGAGUCGGAUGUGAAAUCCCCGAGCUUAACUUGGGAAUUGCAUUCGAUACUGGUUAGCUAGAGUGUGGGAGAGGAUGGUAGAAUUCCAGGUGUAGCGGUGAAAUGCGUAGAGAUCUGGAGGAAUACCGAUGGCGAAGGCAGCCAUCUGGCCUAACACUGACGCUGAGGUACGAAAGCAUGGGGAGCAAACAGGAUUAGAGACCCCUGUAGUCCCUGUCUCUUAUAC